AUUGAACGCUGGCGGCAGGCCUAACACAUGCAAGUCGAGCGGAUGAAGGGAGCUUGCUCCUGGAUUCAGCGGCGGACGGGUGAGUAAUGCCUAGGAAUCUGCCUGGUAGUGGGGGAUAACGCCCGGAAACGGGCGCUAAUACCGCAUACGUCCUGAGGUAGAAAGUGGGGGACCUUCGGACCUCACGCUAUCAGAGGAGCCUAGGUCGGAUUAGCUAGUUGGUGGGGUAAAGGCCUACCAAGGCGACGAUCCGUAACUGGUCUGAGAGGAUGAUCAGUCACACUGGAACUGAGACACGGUCCAGACUCCUACGGGAGGCAGCAGUGGGGAAUAUUGGACAAUGGGCGAAAGCCUGAUCCAGCCAUGCCGCGUGUGUGAAGAAGGUCUUCGGAUUGUAAAGCACUUUAAGUUGGGAGGAAGGGCAGUAAGUUAAUACCUUGCUGCUUUGACGUUACCAACAGAAUAAGCACCGGCUAACUUCGUG
rnacentral:rRNA from 1 species